rnacentral:lncRNA from 1 species
UCUUGAAGCUCUAGCUCACCUCUCUGGUAUUGUUCUCAUUUGAUUAAUCUAGUUCUUGUUAGUUCUUCUUGAACUUCUUGUUAGAUCUCGAGUCUGUAUUUCUAUGUCCGUGACAGUUUGUCGAGACUGCACUCACCUCAAAUAUCAGAGCUAGUUUCUUCUUUGUUAGAGUGUGGAUUAUCCCUCUGCUUGGAAGUGUACUAGCAUUUUAGAGGUUGCGGAUUACCCUCCUCUAAACUGAUACUUCUUUUGUUAUAAUAUUG